GAUCAUGGCUCAGGACGAACGCUGGCGGCGCGCCUAACACAUGCAAGUCGAACGGAGCUUAAAGAGCUUGCUUUUUAAGCUUAGUGGCGAACGGGUGAGUAACGCGUGAGUAACCUGCCCUGAAGUGGGGGACAACAGUUGGAAACGACUGCUAAUACCGCAUAAGCCCACGGAUUCGCAUGGAUCUGCGGGAAAAGGAUUUAUUCGCUUCAGGAUGGACUCGCGUCCAAUUAGCUAGUUGGUGAGGUAACGGCCCACCAAGGCGACGAUUGGUAGCCGGACUGAGAGGUUGAACGGCCACAUUGGGACUGAGACACGGCCCAGACUCCUACGGGAGGCAGCAGUGGGGGAUAUUGCACAAUGGGGGAAACCCUGAUGCAGCGACGCCGCGUGGAGGAAGAAGGUUUUCGGAUUGUAAACUCCUGUCGUUAGGGACGAUAAUGACGGUACCUAACAAGAAAGCACCGGCUAACUACGUGCCAGCAGCCGCGGUAAAACGUAGGGUGCAAGCGUUGUCCGGAAUUACUGGGUGUAAAGGGAGCGCAGGCGGACCGGGCAAGUUGGAAGUGAAAACUAUGGGCUCAACCCAUAAAUUGCUUUCAAAACUGCUGGCCUUGAGUAGUGCAGAGGUAGGUGGAAUUCCCGGUGUAGCGGUGGAAUGCGUAGAUAUCGGGAGGAACACCAGUGGCGAAGGCGACCUACUGGGCACCAACUGACGCUGAGGCUCGAAAGCAUGGGUAGCAAACAGGAUUAGAUACCCUGGUAGUCCAUGCCGUAAACGAUGAUUACUAGGUGUUGGAGGAUUGACCCCUUCAGUGCCGCAGUUAACACAAUAAGUAAUCCACCUGGGGAGUACGACCGCAAGGUUGAAACUCAAAGGAAUUGACGGGGGCCCGCACAAGCAGUGGAGUAUGUGGUUUAAUUCGAAGCAACGCGAAGAACCUUACCAGGUCUUGACAUCCGAUGCAUAGUGCAGAGAUGCAUGAAGUCCUUCGGGACAUCGAGACAGGUGGUGCAUGGUUGUCGUCAGCUCGUGUCGUGAGAUGUUGGGUUAAGUCCCGCAACGAGCGCAACCCUUAUUGCCAGUUACUACGCAAGAGGACUCUGGCGAGACUGCCGUUGACAAAACGGAGGAAGGUGGGGAUGACGUCAAAUCAUCAUGCCCUUUAUGACCUGGGCUACACACGUACUACAAUGGCGUUUAACAAAGAGAAGCAAGACCGCGAGGUGGAGCAAAACUCAAAAACAACGUCUCAGUUCAGAUUGCAGGCUGCAACUCGCCUGCAUGAAGUCGGAAUUGCUAGUAAUCGCGGAUCAGCAUGCCGCGGUGAAUACGUUCCCGGGCCUUGUACACACCGCCCGUCACACCAUGAGAG
rnacentral:rRNA from 1 species